rnacentral:rRNA from 1 species
GAUGAACGCUAGCUCCAGGCUUAACACAUGCAAGUCGAGGGGAAACGACAUCGAAAGCUUGCUUUUGAUGGGCGUCGACCGGCGCACGGGUGAGUAACGCGUAUCCAACCUGCCCACCACUUGGGGAUAACCUUGCGAAAGUAAGACUAAUACCCAAUGACGUCUCUAGAAGACAUCUGAAAGAGAUUAAAGAUUUAUCGGUGAUGGAUGGGGAUGCGUCUGAUUAGCUUGUUGGCGGGGUAACGGCCCACCAAGGCGACGAUCAGUAGGGGUUCUGAGAGGAAGGUCCCCCACAUUGGAACUGAGACACGGUCCAAACUCCUACGGGAGGCAGCAGUGAGGAAUAUUGGUCAAUGGACGAGAGUCUGAACCAGCCAAGUAGCGUGCAGGAUGACGGCCCUAUGGGUUGUAAACUGCUUUUAUAAGGGAAUAAAGUGAGUCUCGUGAGACUUUUUGCAUGUACCUUAUGAAUAAGGACCGGCUAAUUCCGUG